rnacentral:rRNA from 1 species
GAUUAUGGCUCAGAAUGAACGCUGGCGGCAUGGAUUAGGCAUGCAAGUCGAACGAGAAAGCGGUUCGGCCGCGAGUAAAGUGGCGAAAGGGUGAGUAGCACGUGGGGAACCUGCCCCGGGGACCGGAACAAGCCUGUGAAAACGGGUCUGAGACCGGAUGCCGCCCCGGCCCGCAUGGGCCGGAGGCGAAAGAUUCAUCGCCCCGGGAUGGCCCCGCGCCCCAUUAGCUAGUUGGCGGGGUGAAGGCCCACCAAGGCUGCGACGGGUAGGUGGUCUGAGAGGAUGGUCACCCACACUGGGACUGAGACACUGCCCAGACUCCUACGGGAGGCAGCAGUGGGGAAUAUUGCACAAUGGGGGAAACCCUGAUGCAAGCGACGCCGCGUGAAGGAAGAAGUAUCUCGGUAUGUAAACUUCUAUCAGCAGGGAAGAUGAUGACGGUACCUGACUAAGAAGCCCCGGCUAACUACGUGCCAGCCGCCGC